rnacentral:rRNA from 1 species
UCUACGGGAGGCAGCAGUGGGGGAUAUUUCACAAUGGGGGAAACCCUGAUGCAGCGACGCCGCGUGGGUGAAGAAGCGCCUCGGCGCGUAAAGCCCUGUCAGCAGGGAAGAAAAUGACGGUACCUGAAGAAGAAGCCCCGGCUAACUACCUGCCAGCAGCCGCGGGAAGACGUGGGGGGCACGCGUUAUCCGGAUUUGCUGGGUGUAAAGGGGGCGCAGGCGGCGAUGCAAGCCAGGAGGGAAAGCCCGGGGCCCAACCCCGGGACUGCUCUUGGAACUGCGUGGCUAGAGUGCAGGAGGGGCAGGCGGAAUGCCUGGUAUAGCGGGGAAAUGCGUAGAUAUCAGGAGGAACACCGGUGGCGAAGGCGGCCUGCUGGACUGCAACUGACGUUGAGGCCCGAAAGCGUGGGGAGCAAACAGGAUUAGAUACCCUAGUAGUC